AUUGAUUGUUUAUUAAAUCUAAGGUACUUCAAAGAAUCAAAGUGUUAGUGGCACACUGGCCCAGUUUAAUAAAUCUAUCAUCGUCUUUUUUUAUAGAAAUUUAAAAAUUGAUUGGACGCUGAACCCUUUAAAUAAUAUAUCUCCUGAUAUCUAAUAUCCAUCUUGCUUGUAUUAGUUGCAUAGUUAUUCGUUGUGCUUAUGCAGAUUCAUAUGUUUAAUUUUAAUAUACACGUACGACAGAUCUCUUAAAUCUUAAUAUAUGAUCAAGACAACCAAACUAUCCGGACCGCUGACUCUAUUGCACUUAAAUGCAUAUUAAAGAGCUGCAAUUGAUCUUUACUUUAUGGCUCUAAAUCUCUAAUAUUAUACAUUUUUUAUAAAAUACUAUAUUAUGGAUUAUGGUACAGUUGGGACGCACCACAAUGCGUAUCAAAUAUGCUGAGAAAUACAUGUGCUGCCAUCAGAAUGAUUAAUAGGUGUUGGCUGCACCAGCAACAUAUUUUUCUCAGUAAUUGAAUAAUUUCUAACUGUGCAAAAAAGUGCAAAAAUCAAGGAUUUCAGUAAAAAAUGUAUUAUUUGGAUCCCUGUUUUGGUUCAUAUUGAGUCAUAAAUCAUAAUUAAGUUUCAUACUCGGAUACUCCAUAGACUGAUAGAUUUACUGAUACAUAUAUAUUAGUCGUAAGUCAUUACCAGUGGCUUUAAGCUUAAGCUACGGUUUAAAAAUAUUAAGGUUUUAUAUAUAUGAUAAUUGUAAAGAUAAGUCUAAAAAAACAAAUAAAGAUUCCUGUUGUCCCACCGGUAUUAUGAGCAUUCUUUCGCAGGUCAUUGUUUAGUAAGAAGGUCACUGAGCAGUUUAAAUAGAGACUAAUCUCAAGUUCUCUACAUUAUCUGAUAGUAAGAAGAAGAAAAAUCUUUUCUAAGAUGGCAAGAAUUUUGGAGCCUUUAGUUGUUGGAAGAGUGAUAGGAGAAGUUAUCGACUCAUUCAAUCCAUCUAUGAAUAUGGACUGUUACCUACAACUCCAACAAGGAGGUCUUCAAUGGCCAUGAGUUCUUCCCAUCUGCUGUAACUCACAAGCCCAGGGUCGACAUCCGUGGAGGCGAUAUGAGAUCUUUCUACACACUGGUAAAUAUUUAAUAUUUAUCCUUUCAUCUAUAUAUAUAUCCUUAUUAUUGAUCAAAUAUCAUAUAUAUCUAACUAGUUUCUACUGCAGAUCAUGACUGACCCAGAUGUCCCAGGGCCUAGUGAUCCAUACCUAAGGGAGCAUGUCCAUUGGUAAAGUUAAAGAUGCAUCAAAAUACUAAUGACUAAUCAGGGGUCAUUGCACUCCUAUUACCUAUCUGCUAAUGACUAAUCUAACAACAAAAUGUCUAUUUUUUUUAUGAUACUUACAUCCAAUCUAGGCUGGCUAACUAAUUAAUUUCAAUUUGAUAAUGUUCAGGAUUGUCACAGACAUUCCCGGCACAACUGAUGCAUCUUUUGGUAUGCUGAAAGACCAAAUCUACAGCUUAAACUAAUUAUUUCAGUUUCUUCAUCUCUGUUUACUUGUAUUUGUAUUACAAUUACUACUACUACUAUUACAGGAAGGGAGGUCGUACCCUAUGAGAGCCCACGACCAAAUAUCGGUAUACACAGGUUUGUGUUUGUAUUGUUCCAGCAAAAGAAGAGGCAGGCAGUCAAUGGUCUGACGUCUAGAGAUCGAUUCAGGGUAAGACAGUUUGCUGAAGACAAAAACCUUGGACUCCCUAUAGCCUGUGUAUACUUCAAUGCACAGAGGGAGACUGCAGCUCGCAGUCGCUAAACUACUAAUACAAUCUACGAACUUAAAUAAAUUUGUACUGUUGAACUGUAUAUGCCUCGCUGAUCCGUAGGCAUAUAUAUUCAAUCUGUGGCUUGCUUUUAUGUACCUCAAUUUCCAAAGUCAGUUGGAUAAUAAUAACAAUAACAUCAUCGUCAUUAUACGAUUUUUAUCCAGAUAUAUAUAAUCAAUGCAAUAAUCAAAUGCAACAUGUGAAUGAAAAAAGGGCAUUCAGAAAGUAUUAUACCAUACCAGUUCGAAAUCAUUCAUAAUAGAGAUGAUGGAAUGGAGAUGGAGAUCAUUGCAAGAUCGAAGGAUCGGAAUCCAUGGAGGAUGUGAAAUCUCCCGCCCCACCGGCCACGGCGAUAGCGGGGAAAAAAGCAUAAGAAAGAGAACGAGGCACCGAACAACCGCGAAAUUUGGAAAUUUGAAAUUAGGAUUCAAUAUUUACAGCGAUAGAGUUAAGUAACAAGAUUUAAUACAAUGGGCAAUUUAUAUAAUAAAACAAAAAUUAGUAAUGAAG
rnacentral:lncRNA from 1 species